rnacentral:rRNA from 1 species
GAUGAACGCUGGCGGCGUGCCUAAUACAUGCAAGUCGAGCGAGAAGCUUGGAAAUGACGCUUCGGUUGAUUUUCCAAGCGGACAGCGGCGGACGGGUGAGUAACGCGUAGGCAACCUGCCCCUGACAGAGGGAUAGCCAUUGGAAACGAUGAUUAAAACCUCAUGACACCGUAGUAGCACAUGCUACAUCGGUCAAAGAUUUAUCGGUCAGGGAUGGGCCUGCGUCUGAUUAACUGGUUGGUGAGGUAACGGCUCACCAAGGUGACGAUCAGUAGCCGACCUGAGAGGGUGAUCGGCCACAUUGGAACUGAGACACGGUCCAAACUUCUACGGAAGGCAGCAGUAGGGAAUCUUGCACAAUGGGCGAAAGCCUGAUGCAGCAACGCCGCGUGAAGGAUGAAGGCCUUCGGGUUGUAAACUUCUGUUCUAAGGGAAGAAA